GAUGAACGCUGGCGGCAUGCCUAAGACAUGCAAGUCGAGGGGCAGCAUGGUGGAUGCUUGCAUUCACCGAUGGCGACCGGCGCAAGGGUGCGUAACGCGUGAGCAACUUGCCCGUCUCAGGGGGAUAACCGGUGGAAACGCCGACUAAUACCCCAUAGCAUCAUGAUUAGGCAUCUUUUCAUGAUUAAAGAAUUUCGGAAACGGAUAGGCUCGCGUGACAUUAGCUAGAUGGCGGGGUAACGGCCCACCAAGACCGCGAUCGGUAGCCGGACUGAGAGGUUGAACGGCCACAUUGGGACUGAGACACGGCCCAGACUCCUACGGGAGGCAGCAGUGGGGGAUAUUGCGCAAUGGGGGGCAACCCUGACGCAGCAACGCCGCGUGAAGGAUGAAGGUCUUCGGGAUUGUAAACUUCUUUUAUUAAGGACGAACAAAUGACGGUACUUAAUGAAUAAGCUCCGGCUACUACGUG
rnacentral:rRNA from 1 species